rnacentral:rRNA from 1 species
AAGAGACAGCAGCAGCCACGGUAAUACGAAGGGGGCUAGCGUUGCUCGGAAUUACUGGGCGUAAAGGGAGCGUAGGCGGACAUUUAAGUCAGGGGUGAAAUCCCAGAGCUCAACUCUGGAACUGCCUUUGAUACUGGGUGUCUUGAGUGUGAUAGAGGUAUGUGGAACUCCGAGUGUAGAGGUGAAAUUCGUAGAUAUUCGGAAGAACACCAGUGGCGAAGGCGACAUACUGGAUCAUUACUGACGCUGAGGCUCGAAAGCGUGGGGAGCAAACAGGAUUAGAUACCCCGGUAGUCCCUGUCUCUUAUAC